rnacentral:rRNA from 1 species
UACGAAGGGGGCUAGCGUUGCUCGGAAUCACCGGGCGUAAAGCGCACGUAGGCGGCUUUCUAAGUCAGGGGUGAAAUCCUGGAGCUCAACUCCAGAACUGCCUUUGAUACUGGGAAGCUUGAGUCCGGAAGAGGUGAGUGGAACUGCGAGUGUAGAGGUGAAAUUCGUAGAUAUUCGCAAGAACACCAGUGGCGAAGGCGGCUCACUGGUCCGGUACUGACGCUGAGGUGCGAAAGCUAGGGGAGCGAACGGG